AGGCCUGUAGCUCCAAUUGGCUAGAGCGGCGGUCUCCAAAACCGCGGGUUGUAGGUUCAAAUCCUGCCAGGCCUG
rnacentral:tRNA from 1 species